UACGGGGGGGGUAAGCGUUGUUCGGAAUUACUGGGCGUAAAGGGCUCGUAGGCGGCCAACUAAGUCAUACGUGAAAUCCCUCAGCUUAACUGGGGAACUGCGUGUGAUACUGGAUGGCUUGGAUUUGGGAGAGGGAUGCGGAAUUCCAGGUGUAGCGGUGAAAUGCGUAGAUAUCUGGAGGAACACCGGUGGCGAAGGCGGCAUCCUGGACCAAUAUUGACGCUGAGGAGCGAAAGCUAGGGGAGCAAACGGGAUUAGAUACCCCGGUAGUCCUAGCCCUAAACGAUGAAUGCUUGGUGUAGCGGGUAUCGAUCCCUGCUGUGCCGAAGCUAACGCAUUAAGCAUUCCGCCUGGGGAGUACGGUCGCAAGGCUG
rnacentral:rRNA from 1 species